UUAAGGUCAUUGUCUUCUGCUUCGUCUUUGUUAGGUUGUUCAGGUCUUGCUGGUGUGGAACCCGUAAUCUCUGGUGGUGUCGUUUUACUCUUUAUGUUGUUGAAUGUAUUCUUAUACUGUCUACCCAUCCAUUCCUCUAGUAGGUGCAGGUGGGGCCUAUAGCUUAGGUGGUCACUGUUCCUCUCCCUGUGGGGACUGGGCCAAGGUUCCAAUGGAGGCAGAUGUGGUGCUGGAUGGUUUGCGGUGUGGGGAUGCUACCCACAGGUCUCUUGGUAACUGGUGGGCAGGGGUGGGGAGCAGUGUGACAUGCCAGGGGUGAUUAGGACCAAGAGGUUAGGAUGCUUUGGUGGGGGAGAGGCUGCUGGGAUUGUGGCCCAGGCAUUCACCUCUCCCCGUUGGGGUGGGGCCAAGGCUCCACUGGCGGCAAAUGAGGUGUUGGGUGUUUUGGUGUGUGGGGAGGCUCUCCCCAGGUGUCUGGGGUUUCCUUGUUUCCUUGGUCAGAUGGGGCCUGCAAUGUGUCCUGGGUGAUUAGGGCCUAGAGGUUAAGUACCUCUAGCUGGGGGUGGAGAAUUUUGAAUUGGGUUCCUUCUGUAACCCAAAUUUCUGAGGGCAGGAAUACAUCUGAUUUUGUUGCUCCAGUGCCCAGUGAAUUGUGAGUUCAAGACCAGUCUGUGAUAUACAUAGUGAGUUCUAUAAUUUUGAACAAUUUGGUGUCAGUAGAACACUCAAGUUCCAAGCCACAGUCUUAACAAUGUCACCCUUGAAAUCAUAAUCACAGGGUGUUUUCAGACAUAAUCUGAAGCCCCUUCACUCGCCUGUCACUUCCCAGUGGUCAGGUGAAGCGAAGAAACCGCAGCAUAAACUGAAUGCUAGGAAAGUCUAGCCAUAGCUGUAGUGCCCCAGGGAUGCCUGCUUCCCUGUUCUGGAUCAUUUCAUAGUUAGAGCCAAAUCCCACAUCUGCUGCCACUCCCCACCCCAUACUGCGGGCAGCCCCAAGGCUCUUCACAAGUAUUCACAUGUCUCUUUUUGUUUUGAGACAGAUCUCACAUCAUAGCUUAAACCAAUGGUUCUCAACUUCCUAAUGCUGUGAUCCUUUAAUACAGUUCCUUAUGUUGUGAUAGCCCCUAACUAUAAAAUUAUUUUUGUUGCUACUUCAUAACUGUAAUUUUGCUACUGUUAUGAACUGUAAUGUAAAUAUCUGAUAUACAGGACAGUCUUUGGUGACUUCUGUGAAAGGUCAUUUGACACCCCCCAAGGGGAUCACAACCUACAGUUUGAGAACCACUGACUUAAGCUGACAGGAGCGAGAAGGGUCUUCAGAUUAUGUCACUUGGAAAGCGGCAGGUGGCACUUGGAGGUGUUCUCUGGCACCUGCCGGCUUCCGUGCCUGGCGAGGGCGGGAACAGAGAGAGCACAAGAUGAGACAGUGACUCUGAGAGCAAGUUCCCGGAAACCCGACAUUGAUUUCCUGGCAGUUCAGGCAGGGCAGAUGUCUGAAGACACCUGUCAUGAUGAUUUCUAGGGGACAUUGUUAGAGUGUGGCCUGGAACCGAGGUGUCCCACUGAUACCCAAUGCUGGGAAUUAUAAACGUCACUCUCAGGCCAGGAAGAUGGCCCUGCGGUGAGGCGCUCAUCACUGAGCCUACGGACUGGAGUUUGGUCCCUGGGAAUUUCUCUGUGGAAGAAGAGCUGACCUGCAGCUGACCUCUGACCUCCACAGCGGCACAUGUGCGCCCCACCUGAGAUGAACGGAAAUGCAGGGAAGGAAAACCCUUCACUUCCAACCGUGACCACGCUCGGCGAUGUUCUGACAGUCAGCUGCAGUUGGUAGGAGCGGUUGUGAUUCUCUUACCACAUCUGUGACUUGGACUUAACCUGCACCCUGCUCUGCAAAUGAGAAUGGGUAGAGCCUCAGUGUUGAGACUGCAGAGAUGGCCUUGCCUCUGUGUCCUGACACGUGGGGUUAAAGGAACUUAGCGAAAGGAAUUCACAUGUGCCUGGAGCCAGCGGUGGUUGGGCUGAGAGCAGCCGCUUUCAGGGCGCCUGGAUCUGGGUUCCAGAACUUCCGACACCAAAUGAUUCUGCAAUGAUAAAGGGCCACUUACUGAGAGUAUAGGUGAGUAUUUAUUGUAGAGAUUACUCGCUGCAAUGAUAAAGGGCCACUUACUGAGAGUAUAGGUGAGUAUUUAUUGUAGAGAUUACUCGCUGCAAUGAUAAAGGGCCACUUACUGAGAGUAUAGGUGAGUACUUAUUGUAGAGAUUACUCGCUGCAAUGAUAAAGGGCCACUUACUGAGAGUAUAGGUGAGUAUUUAUUGUAGAAAUUACUCGCUGCAAUGAUAAACGGCACACUUAUUGAGAGUAUAGGUGAGUACUUAUUGU